rnacentral:lncRNA from 1 species
AGAGAUGAGAGAUCUGAUGUUGGAUCGUUUCUGGGACACCACCUCACUUUGUGAUUGACCUGGAGCGCAGCCAAUGGAAGCGAGCUGCCGGCGCCGCUUCGACCAAUCAGAUCGCCAGCGCGGAGUUGGUGGAAGCUUUGGACGAACCAGGAAACACAUAAUUAUUGUAGUUCUAUACUUACUAACAACCUCCUUC